rnacentral:misc_RNA from 1 species
GCUCCGUUGGUGAACCAGCGGAGGGAUCAUUACAGGACUCGCAAGAUUUCUACAACCCUGUGAAUUUAACUACAAGUACGUUGCUUUGUCGGGUGUCUCGGAGUGGGCUUUCCCUCCCCGAGACGCAAAAUCCGCCGUUAACCUCCUACAUUCUGUCUCUUUUCGUUGGCAUCCCGAAUACAAUCAAUCAAUUUAAAACUCUCAACAACUGAUCCCCUGGUUCUUGCAUCGCUGAAGAACGCAGAAGAUCAGAAGACCACACUCCUGAACCCCAGCCAC